UGUUAGAAGUUACUUGAUGCA
rnacentral:piRNA from 1 species